AUACGUAGGGGGCGAGCGUUAUCCGGAAUUAUUGGGCGUAAAGAGUACGUAGGUGGUUUCCUAAGCGAGGGGUUUAAGGCACUGGCUUAACCAAUGUUCGCCCCCCGAACUGGGGAACUUGAGUGCUGGAGAGGAAAGCGGAAUUCCUAGUGUAGCGGUGAAAUGCGUAGAUAUUAGGAGGAACACCAGUGGCGAAGGCGGCUUUCUGGACAGUAACUGACACUGAGGUACGAAAGUGUGGGGAGCAAACAGGAUUAGAUUCCCUGGUAGUCCACACCGUAAACGAUGAAUACUAGGUGUAGGGGGUAUCGACUCCCUCUGUGCCGCAGUUAACACAAUAAGUAUUCCGCCUGGGGAGUACGGCCGCAAGGUUGAAACUCAAAUGAAUUGACGGGG
rnacentral:rRNA from 1 species